CUAUUCUCGACAGGAUUUGCGGCUACAUCACCAGGGCAGUCACAGUUCCGGUAGAUACGGAAGCACCGCUGGAGGUUAUGAUUUUUUCGUUUUCGGCGAGGUUUACUGUUACAGGACAGUCGCAGUUCCAGUGGAUACAAAAGCAACACCGAACUGUCCAGUUUGGGUCGAGCAGAGUCGGCUAGAAGGUUGGAGACGCAAGCUGUUACAUCGUUCGACCCCCAAAUACCGCCGGCGUACCCCCGCGCUGGCGUAACCACUCUUCUGAUAGUGGUGGCUCGCUGUCCCCGAACCGAUGCAUUUGCCACCGACGUCGACUACGCCGCGAUAAUUCCAUUUCCGCGAAGCGGCGCGAAUUCGAAGUUUAAUUAAUCGAAUUCGCGCCCAUGCCAUCCUCGCCCAGCCGAAUCCUUCUCCCACCAUUUCUAGUUCUCUCCCGCUUAGGCUCCUUUGCCUCGGCUCUCUUCCUACCCUCAGCCAACCAACCAGCCACCCACCCACCCUCUCAGGCUUCGAUCCCGGAAAUUAGUAAGAUCGCACAUGCGGAAC